GAUGAACGCUGGCGGCGUGCCUAAUACAUGCAAGUCGAGCGAACGGACGAGAAGCUUGCUUUUCUGAUGUUAGCGGCGGACGGGUGAGUAACACGUGGAUAACCUACCUAUAAGACUGGGAUAACUUCGGGAAACCGGAGCUAAUACCGGAUAAUAUUUUGAACCGCAUGGUUCAAAAGUGAAAGACGGUCUUGCUGUCACUUAUAGAUGGAUCCGCGCUGCAUUAGCUAGUUGGUAAGGUAACGGCUUACCAAGGCAACGAUGCAUAGCCGACCUGAGAGGGUGGUCGGCCACACUGGAACUGAGACACGGUCCAGACUCCUACGGGAGGCAGCAGUAGGGAAUCUUCCGCAAUGGGCGAAAGCCUGACGGAGCAACGCCGCGUGAGUGAUGAAGGUCUUCGGAUCGUAAAACUCUGUUAUUAGGGAAGAACAUAUGUGUAAGUAACUGUGCACAUCUUGACGGUACCUAAUCAGAAAGCCACGGCUAACUACGUG
rnacentral:rRNA from 1 species